rnacentral:rRNA from 1 species
AUUGAACGCUGGCGGCAUGCCUUACACAUGCAAGUCGAACGGCAGCAUGGGUGCUUGCACCUGAUGGCGAGUGGCGAACGGGUGAGUAAUGCAUCGGAACGUACCCGGAAGUGGGGGAUAACGUAGCGAAAGUUACGCUAAUACCGCAUAUUCUGUGAGCAGGAAAGUGGGGGAUCGCAAGACCUCGCGCUUCCGGAGCGGCCGAUGUCGGAUUAGCUAGUUGGCGGGGUAAAGGCCCACCAAGGCAACGAUCCGUAGCGGGUCUGAGAGGAUGAUCCGCCACACUGGGACUGAGACACGGCCCAGACUCCUACGGGAGGCAGCAGUGGGGAAUUUUGGACAAUGGGGGCAACCCUGAUCCAGCCAUGCCGCGUGAGUGAAGAAGGCCUUCGGGUUGUAAAGCUCUUUCGGCCGGGAAGAAAUCGCACAGGUUAAUACCUUGUGUGGAUGACGGUACCGGAAUAAGAAGCACCGGCUAACUACGUGCCAGCAGCCGCCGCAGUAA